GGAAAGGUGCAGGAGUGGCUGAACUGGCACGACUGGAAAUCGUGUGUACGGCCAAAAGCCGUACCGAGGGUUCGAAUCCCUCCCUUUCCGCUA
rnacentral:tRNA from 2 species